UUUUUUUUUUGAAUGAAGAAUGGUGCCCUAUUGGAAAUAUUUAUUGCAAUGAACCAGUGAGUGCUUCUCUUUCUAUUAUUUUUCAUUGAAGUAUACACUACUUUUAAGAAUUUCGCUUUUGUUUAAUGGUUCACAUGCUUUUUUACCGGUUGAGAAAGAACUUGUAGUAGCAAAUCUUCACCUUGAACUGUGAUAGAAACCAGAAGUUUCUUGGCAAUGUUGAAGCAACUUUUGUUAACUCAUUGUUAUAUUAAUUUGACUUGGUCGGUACUGAGACUUGCUCGUCAAAGUCAUAGAAAUCGGCUAUGGAAAUGGACAUAAGCUUUAGGGGAAAUAAAUAUUGAGUCAUUGUCUGUGAGCUUGUGGGACUGUCAAUUGGUCAUGUGGCUGAAUUUUAUAAGGCCUGUCUUUGUAAUACACGUCAAAUGUUGGACUUUUGUUGUACAUUUUCCAUUUGCAUGUAAUUAAGAUCAAUACACAUCAACACCCUUUCCAGAUUUGAAUCAAAUCUGGUCUGGUCUAUCCAGAAUAA